rnacentral:lncRNA from 1 species
GUCUUCGGAACGCAGACGCCCCGAAUCUGACUCAGAAGCAUCGCGGGAAACGGCAAGGCAAAGACGGCGGAUGUAUCUUCAUGUUGCCUGGAAGAAGGAAGGCUGCUUCUGUCUGGACAGAGUGAACACGGUUCGCCUUCUUCGAUGCCUUGGUGGCGCCUUCUGGAUGUGCACACCGACAGAGGGAAGAAGGCUGAGAUUGACCAGAAGCCCGCAAGGCAGAAAUUAUGGAUCUCCCCGUGAAAUAUGAACGACUGACAACACAUCCGCUGUGUGUGUUUGUCCGCUUCCUCUCCAGCAAAAAAACGGCUAGCGCUCCGUUUCGCUUCCCCCAGCCACGCGCCACACGGACGAGAGAGAUGGCCGCAGAACUUGCAAUUGCACAUGAAAACGGACACGCCAGGAGACAGCGGAUCUUCUAUUUUUAGGACAUCUGCACAGAGGCGCAAAUGGAAGCGGAAAGGGGAAACUGCAAAGCACGCAAUCGGCUUUUUAUCUGAUUAGGGCGUGUGGUCGCGGCCUGGAGACACCGGCCAUGUGCAACAACGUCGGAAAAUCCGGCACACAGAGGAGCAUGAAAACGAGGUGUUAGUUCUGUAGUGACGAUUCAGAAAUGACAGAAAGUGUACUAAGUCUGUGGGAUAAAAGCGACCUGGGAGGAACGAGUUCUCAAGGCACUUCGACCCCCGCGCUUCCUUUUGAAAGUCUUGGGGGUUCGGCUCCGAGAAGCCGUCUCGCUCUUUAGCGCAUGCGGGUCUGGCUGUUUCCAAGCAGCUGCUCGGGGGAAGAGGGCCUAAGUGUUGCACAAGAAUUUCUGCAGGGAAUAAGUUUUCGAAAGGAUUAUUGGUGAGGUCUUCUCCGCAGUGUGUCGUUUGGUCUGAGGAAAUGUAGGUCUGAGAGGCAGGCGAGAGAAACUCUCUGCCCGGCCCGAGAAUCGCGCCGUCGACUUCCGCAGCGACCUCCGAGCACGCGCCGGAGAUCUGCCCGGUCUCCAGGAACUGGGAAAGGGGAAGCAGGAAACGGUCGGAGCUGAGUGUUGUCUCUGUUGGAAAAGGGAAAAGUGGAAACAAAGGCGAGGCAGGAGAACUCUGUCUUGAUGCUGUCGAGGGAGGCGAAAACAGGAUUGAGCGAAAGACGCCACACGGAGGAGAAGAGCCAGGGUCUUUGACUUCGUCACUGCGGCGUACGAGCAGACUUCAUCUUUUUUUUCAGGAGAGCAGUGUGCGCCACAAACAUCGUCCGUCGUCGCACGGUUUGUACCUCUUUCAGCUUGGCACUCUAAG